GGGGAAACGGCAUUAUGUGCUUGCACAUUUUGGACGUCGACCGGCGCACGGGUGAGUAUCGCGUAUCCAACCUGCCCUUUACUUGGGGAUACCCCGUUGAAAGACGGCCUAAUACCCGAUGUAAUUCAUUGAUGGCAUCAGAUAUGAAUAAAAGAUUUAUCGGUAAAGGAUGGGGAUGCGUCUGAUUAGCUUGUUGGUGAGGUAAAGGCUCACCAAGGCAACGAUCAGUAGGGGUUCUGAGAGGAAGGUCCCCCACAUUGGAACUGAGACACGGUCCAAACUCCUACGGGAGGCAGCAGUGAGGAAUAUUGGUCAAUGGGCGCAAGCCUGAACCAGCCAAGUAGCGUGCAGGAAGACGGCCCUAUGGGUUGUAAACUGCUUUUAUACGAGAAUAAUUUGAUGCACGUGUGCGUUAUUGCAUGUAUCGUAUGAAUAAGGACCGGCUAAUUCCGUGCCAGCAGCCGCGGUAAUACGGAAGGUCCAGGCGUUAUCCGGAUUUAUUGGGUUUAAAGGGAGUGUAGGCGGUUUGUUAAGCGUGUUGUGAAAUUUAGGUGCUCAACAUUUAACUUGCAGCGCGAACUGUCAGACUUGAGUACACGCAACGUAUGCGGAAUUCAUGGUGUAGCGGUGAAAUGCUUAGAUAUCAUGAAGAACUCCGAUUGCGAAGGCAGCAUACGGGAGUGUAACUGACGCUUAAGCUCGAAGGUGCGGGUAUCGAACAGGAUUAGAUANCCUGGUAGUCCGCACAGUAAACGAUGGAUGCCCGCUGUUAGCGCCUGGCGUUAGCGGCUAAGCGAAAGCAUUAAG
rnacentral:rRNA from 1 species